rnacentral:rRNA from 1 species
UACGUAGGGGGCAAGCGUUGUCCGGAUUUAUUGGGCGUAAAGAGCGUGUAGGCGGCUUCACAGGUCCGCUGUGAAAACUCGAGGCUCAACCUCGAGCUGUCGGUGGAAACCGUGUGGCUAGAGUCCGGAAGAGGAGAGUGGAAUUCCCGGUGUAGCGGUGAAAUGCGCAGAUAUCGGGAAGAACACCCGUGGCGAAGGCGGCUCUCUGGGACGGCACUGACGCUGAGACGCGAAAGCGUGGGGAGCGAACAGG